rnacentral:rRNA from 1 species
UACGGAGGGGGCUAGCGUUGUUCGGAAUUACUGGGCGUAAAGCGCACGUAGGCGGCUUUGCAAGUUAGAGGUGAAAGCCCGGAGCUCAACUCCGGAAUUGCCUUUAAAACUGCAUCGCUCGAAUUGUGGAGAGGUGAGUGGAAUUCCGAGUGUAGAGGUGAAAUUCGUAGAUAUUCGGAAGAACACCAGUGGCGAAGGCGACUCACUGGACACAUAUUGACGCUGAGGUGCGAAAGCGUGGGGAGCAAACAGG